GCUGUGGUUCAGUGGUAGCACACUUGCCUGGCAAGUGUGAGGCAUUGGGUUUGAUUCUCAGCACUGCA
rnacentral:tRNA from 1 species